GACGAACCGUGCGAACGUUAUUCGGAAUCACUGGGCUUAAAGCGCGUGUAGGCGGGCCGGCACGUUCGCCGCUGAAAUCCCCCGGCUCAACCGGGGAAGGGGCGCGAAUACGGCCGGCCUGGAGGGGGGUAGGGGGCGCCGGAACUCACGGUGGAGCGGUGAAAUGCGUUGAGAUCGUGAGGAACGCCCGUGGCGAAAGCGGGCGCCUGGACCCCACCUGACGCUGAGACGCGAAAGCCAGGGGAGCGAACGGG
rnacentral:rRNA from 1 species